rnacentral:rRNA from 1 species
AUUGAACGCUGGCGGCAGGCUUAACACAUGCAAGUCGAACGGAGUGGCGGACGGGUGAGUAAUGUCUCGGAACGUGCCCAAUAGCGGGGGAUAACUACGCGAAAGCGUAGCUAAUACCGCAUACUAUUGGAGCGGCCGAUACCGGAUUAGCUAGUUGGUGGGGUAACGGCUCACCAAGGCGACGAUCCGUAGCUGGUUUGAGAGGACGACCAGCCACACUGGGACUGAGACACGGCCCAGACUCCUACGGGAGGCAGCAGUGGGGAAGUUGGGACAAUGGGGGAAACCCUGAUCCAGCCAUCCCGCGUGUGCGAUGAAGGCCUUCGGGUUGUAAAGCACUUUUGGCAGGAAAGCGGUACCUGCAGAAUAAGCACCGGCUAACUACGUGCCAGCAGCCGCGGUAAUAC